GGCUACGUAGCUCAGGGGUUAGAGCGGGGCCCUCAUAAAGCCUAGGUCGCAGGUUCGAAUCCUGCCGUAGCCA
rfam:Candidatus Woykebacteria bacterium RBG_16_39_9b RBG_16_scaffold_4618, whole genome shotgun sequence.